GAUCAUGGCUCAGGAUGAACGCUAGCGGCAGGCUUAACACAUGCAAGUCGAGGGGCAGCGGGAUGUAGCAAUACAUUGCCGGCGACCGGCGGAUGGGUGCGUAACGCGUAUGCAACCUACCUUAUACAGGGGAAUAACCUUUCGAAAGGGAGACUAACACCCCAUAGUAUUGAUUUAAGGCAUCUUAGAUUAAUUAAAUAUUUAUAGGUAUAAGAUGGGCAUGCGUAUGAUUAGCUAGUUGGUAAGGUAACGGCUUACCAAGGCGACGAUCAUUAGGGGUUCUGAGAGGAAGGUCCCCCACACUGGUACUGAGACACGGACCAGACUCCUACGGGAGGCAGCAGUGAGGAAUAUUGGUCAAUGGGCGCAAGCCUGAGCCAGCCAUGCCGCGUGCAGGGAAAGACGGCCUUAUGGGUUGUAAACUGUCUUUUACAUAAGACUAACCGUAUAUUUGCGAAUAUACCUGAAUGUAUUAUGAGAAUAAGGAUCGGCUAACUCCGUGCCAGCAGCCGC
rnacentral:rRNA from 1 species